rnacentral:rRNA from 1 species
AAUCGAAUGAGACCUUGGAGGACUGAAGUGGAGAAGGGUUUCGUGUGAACAGUGGUUGAUCACGAGUUAGUCGGUCCUAAGUUCAAGGCGAAAGCUGACAAUUUUCAAGUUAUAAAAAAUUAUUAUAUUAUAUUAAUUAAUAUACUUGAAUAUUUUGAACGAAAGGGAAUACGGUUCCAAUUCCGUAACCUGUUGAGUAUCCGUUUGUUAUUAAAAGUGGGCAUUUUGCUCAUCCUGGUAACAGGAACGACCAUAAAGAAGCCGUUGAGGGAUAUCGGAAGAGUUUUCUUUUCUGUUUUAUAGUCGUACUACCAUGGAAGUCUUUCGAAGAGAGAUAUGGUAGAUGGACUAGAAGAGCAUGACAUUUACUGUUGUGUCGAUAUUUUCUCUUCGGACCUUGAAAAUUUAUGGCGGGGUCACGGAAACUUCUCAACAGGCCGUACCGAUAUCCGCAGCUGGUCUCCAAGGUGAAGAGUCUNNNNNNNNNNNNNNNNNNNNNNNNNNNNNNNNNNNCAAAUUAGAUCCGUAACUUCGGGAUAAGGAUUGGCUCUGAAGAUUGAGAUAGUCGGGCUUGAUUGGGAAGCGAUACCAUGGUUUAUGUGCUCGUUCUGGGUAAAUAGGAAUUUUCGGAUUUCGUUCCCCGGAUAGUAGUUUACGUAGCCAAUCGUGGAACUUUCUUGCUAAAAAUCUUUUAGAGUUAUGUUGAAAGAUAAUAAAUUUUAUUUGAUUUAUAACGACUAUCAAUUAACAAUCAAUUCAGAACUGGCACGGACCUGAGGAAUCCGACUGUCUAAUUAAAACAAAGCAUUGUGAUGGCCUUAGCUGGUGUUGACACAAUGUGAUUUCUGCCCAGUGCUCUGAAUGUCAAAGUGAAGAAAUUCAAAUAAGCUUGGGUUAACGGCGGGAGUAACUAUGACUCUCUUAAGGUAGCCAAAUGCCUCGUCAUCUAAUUAGUGACGCGCAUGAAUGG